rnacentral:lncRNA from 1 species
UUUUUUUUUUUUUUUUUUUUUUUUUUUGGUUUUUAGGGCCGCACCUGCAGCAUAUGGAAGUUCCCAGGCUAGGGGUUGAAUCAGAACUGCAGCUCCCAGCCUAUACCCCAGCCACAGCAAUGCCAGAUCUGAGCUGUGUCUGGGACCUGCACCACAGCUCACAGCAACACCAGAUCCUUAAGCCACUGAGCAAGGCCAGGGAUCGAACCUACAUCCUCAUGAAUACUAGUCAGAUUCGUUACCACUGAGCCACAACAGGAACUCCUAUUUGUGAUUCUUACUGAGGUGAAAAAAGGGGUUUGUGCCUUAGAGAAAUAUUUUCAGUAGCAUGGACAACUUAAAAAAAAAAAAAAAAGGCAUGCUGGUUAACUUUCAGAAAACUGUUAGCCAGAAAUGCAUAGUUCUUCAAGAAUUCAAGUUCAGAUCCCCAAGUCAGGCCAGCUGUGUGGGUGGUCACAAGGGGAUUUCACAGGGUUAGAGGGUGCCUAUACCUACUGUGAGCUGUUUUCUGUUUUUCUGAAGAUUCAGGCCUGGAGUUCCCAUCGUGGCUCAGCAGAAACAAAGCCAACUAGGAACCAUGAGGUUGCAGGUUCGAUCCUUGGCCUCACUCUGUGGGUUAAGAAUCCGGUGUUGCCACGAGCUGUGGUGCAGAUUGCAGAUGUGGCUUGGAUCCUGCGUUGCUAUGGCUGUGGUGUAGGCCGGUGGCUGCAGCUCCAAUUAGACCCCUAGCCUGGGAACCUCCUCGAGUGCACACAGUUUUACACACCUGUCACAUGCCCUAGAAUAUCCGCAGACACACACUCACUCACCAACCUGCACCCCUGCCCUGUCUCCUACACCUGAUUUGGCAAAAUCCACCCCUCAGCAUGCAGAUGGGUGAGCAGACACCUUGCUCGCAGAGCCAGGAUGGAACUGCCCUGUUUAGCGCGCAUCCUGCUCGCUCUCUGCCCAUGAUGACUGCCAUCCUCCGGCUGAUACUCAGACGCGGGGACCCGACUCCUCUCCCAGUCACGCAGUCUUAGGCGGGAAACACACACAAGCCUUUGUAAACCUGCUGGGUGCUUAUAACUCUGUGCGCUGUCAUUUCCUGUACCUCCACUCCAUCCCAGCCCUUGUGUGCUUAGAUGCCUGGAUCUACAAGACUGAGGGGAGAUGGAGGCAGAGGGGUUAAGUCCCUUCCGUAGGGCACCCAGCCAAGACCAGGGCUAUCUGAUUCCACAGCCUGCACCUCUCCCCACUGAGCUCCUGACUCAGACCCGGGGCCAACCUAAGGUGACCGGGAUGGCGUGUGACCCCAGGGAGAUUUGACGCCCCAGCCUGCACCUGCUAGAUCACAGCCCCCUGUUAAAUCUCUUCCUUGAUGGGCACCCCUCAAACCUGAGGACAGGCGUGAAAGGCAAAUAACAAAGGUGGCAAGUGAGAGAGCAAGUUACGAGGACCCUCAUUUCGAGGGGAUCUUUUGAAUAAGCCCUAAGGCGAGUGUUCCAGCAAAGUCCAGCUCUCCCCAGUCAGCCAGGGCCCAUGGGCACCCAUCUAAGGCAGGUGUUCCCAGCCUCAGCACUAAUGAGACUGUGGACCUGGGCAUCUUUUCCUGCAGUAGGUGCUCCUGUGCAUUGCAGCAUCCCUGGCCUCUACCCACCAGAUGCCAGCAGGACCUGCCAUUAGCUGUGACAGCCACAAACAUGCCCAAACAUUGCCAAAUGCCCCCUGCGAGCAAAAUCACACUAGACUGAACACUGCUGGUCUGGGGCCUCUGGGGAACCACUACAGAACAGGGUUUGGAAAAAGCAGAGGCUAUAGGAGGUGGGUUAGGGGUGUAGGACUGCUGAGCCAAGGGAAGCCAGGACCAAAAGAGGUUUUCACGGACCACUGCCUGGCCCCCGGCCCGUGGGAUGAGCUUACAGUCCCCCGCCCUGGGGCUGCAGAGAGAGACAUAAAUGAAUGGUACAGACCCUCCCAAUUUUCUGGUGUGUGACAGUUUGCACCCCCAUGCUUUGAGAUUUGGGACAAGCAGGCCAAUCUGGGCUGAAGUUUGCCUUCUUCCUCAGCUGAAGGGAGAACCAGCAGAACUGAGGAGCGUGUCAAGGGGACAGCCGAGGUGCAAGUUCCAGCCCCCUCCCCACAAGGACCAACUGUUUCCCAUCUUAGAGGCUUCUCCUCCCAGGAGCACUCAAGGUUCUGGAUGCAGAUGACAUUGACCCAGGAGAAAAGACCCAAAAGACCUUCAGGCACACACGUCAUACGUCACAGAGGACAGCUGCGGAAAAACUGGAUAAUCUGGCUCUCUCAGGAUCUCAGAGCAUCCUGCCAUGCCCAGAGUGUGUGGGCCUUAACAAGUGAGGCUGGGAGGUGUGCCUGAUGGAGAAAAGCUAGCAUCCUAUGCCCCCUCCCGCAGCAAGGCCCCCACCCCCUUGAAGCUGGCCUGGAGGUCAAGGCACUCAGGGGUCUGCGGGGAUUGGGUCCUGGGCAGCUACAUGGGCUUGUGGGCAGAACCAGGACUUAAGCAGCCCCAGCUCCUCCUGCGAAGCCUGAUCCUCACCCCUUCUACCCCCAGAUGCAGACCUCAGGAUUGAAAAAAAACAAGAUCAAUUUUGAAAAGUCACACCAGAGUCUUGAAACCCACUGGCUUUGGAGAGAUCCUGCCACCUUGCUCUCUGUCUCCUUGCUCCGGGGGUGCGGUCCUCAGCCCCACAGCAGCAGGGAUUCCCCGGAGCUGGUUAGACAUGCAGAUUCCUGGGCCCCAUCCAGAGCAUCUGAAGCCCAGUCUGCAUAUUAGCAAACUCCUUGGGUGAUCUGGGGCCCAGUAAUAUCUGAGGGGUGCUGCCUCCCCCAGAGCAGCCGCUCACAGUAAAAGUGCCCUUUAAUUUCACAGCCCCUCCUCCUGUGAUCCCACAUAUCCACCCUCAUCUUAAGGAGAUGCCACACACCCUCGCAGCCUUGCUCCCACAGUCCCGUGUACCCAACAGCCAAGAAGACCUCCGACUUGCCCGCCCCUCUCCAUCUCUCCUACUAGAAUUGCUUUGAAUUACACCUGUUCUAUCCUCAGCACCUCAGGGCUUCAAUAGCACUUCAUUGGCUUAAUGACAAUGAGUCACUGGCUGUUUUUGGGCUUAAUUGUGGCUGUUUCAAUAAACCCAAGACCUUUAUUGAGGCUUUUAUCUGUAGGGGUAGCAGCAAGGACUGGUCCCGGGGCACAGAGCCGGCAGGGAAGUCGGCUGAGCUGAGAGAGUGGGUGGCCCUUGUCUCCUGACAUUUGCUCCUGGAGCCUCUGCCUCCAGGGUAAAGACCUGGAAAUCUCUGAGAACAAUAGCUUAAGCAGUGCCUGAGAUCACAAGGAGGGUGGGCGGCAGGCAGAAGGCAAGGCUGUGCCCCGAGGCCACUCCUUGGAGCAUUGACCUCCCCCACCCCCAGCCCAGGGGCAGGGGUGGGGGACGGACGCAGAUGGACCAGGGGCUGCUCCCAGGUUUCCCAGCCCCAUAGGCAGCAUUCCCCAAAGUCUACUAUAGCUCCAGUACUACCUCCCAAAGCUUUCUCUGGGCCUUAGCAAUUUGAGCUGAGAGUUAGUGAUCCCAUCUGUGAAAUGGGAGGGCAUAACCCCGCUCUUUAUAAGAAUGCAUCCUUUUUUUUUUUUUUUUUNUUUUUUUUUUUUUUUUUUUUUUUGGUCUUUUUGCCUUUUCUAGAGCCGCUACUGUGGCAUAUGGAGAUUCGCAGGCUAGGGGUCUAAUUGGAGGUACAGCUGCCGGCCUACACCACAGC